rnacentral:lncRNA from 1 species
UUUUCAUUUUUUCAUCAACAGUUUCAUUAGAUAUAAAGAAUAUAAAGGUUUUAUUUUGUAACUAUGUUGUUAUUAGUGUAAACAAAAAUCUUUUGAAGAAAUAAUGCUUUUACUAAAACAGUCUUCCUAAUCUAGAAAUCACAGCUUUGGAACAAUUUUUUAAAGAAUUAAAUGUAUAAAAUGAAAAAUAUGAAAAUGCCACAACAUUUUUAAGUUGAAAUUGUUAUACACUGCCAUAAUGAUUUAAGUUGAAUUAAUGUUUAUUUUAAUUGUUGAGUAUAUCUGUUAUGAAUGACCACAGAUUGAUGUAGUGAAACCUUUGCUUGUUGUGAUUAAUUAAGGAUAAAUGUUAUGAAUAAUUGUAUAAAACAUAAACAGAUGCAUUUAAUAAUCACUUGUAGUAAAGAUUAUACAAAUGCUGAAAGUUAAACAAAAUUGAAAAUUUUAUUUAGAUAAGUUGCAAAAAUUGGAAACAAAGUUGCACAUAUGUUGCAUUCUAUGAUUUACUUUCCAACCAGAAUUUUAUGAAUUUUUAACAGAAUGUGUGGUUGAAUGGUAAAAAAUAAUAUAGUGUGUGACAGUUCAGUAUGAUGUGUUCAUGUGUUAUUUACAUAUAAAUAAGAUGUAUGAGAGGUGAAAGUUGGCAGAACAUAGAAUGAUGACAGAAAGUUCAAAUAAGAAGUUGAACAUUUAUAUAAGAUAAUUUGGGUUAUCCUGUAAUGCAAUUAAAUAUUUUGAUUAAAGUGUUAAUGUAGUCACUGACUAUACUAUUGUCAAAAUCUGUUUACCUUAAACAAUAUUGCUUUAUUUCCAAGAAGAUAUUUUAACAGAUGAUGUUCACACUGAAUAUAACUUUAUUGUACUUGUCUCAUUAUUCUUGGUUAGUGUAUUAGUUUUGUUAAUUUUGUUUUUAAAUCACUGUUCUAAACAACAUAAAAAACCUCUGAUAUGAUUAUAUCAGAAGUGUUCUAUAUUGAUGUUCUUUUCCACUGAAAAGGUCAUAUAUUAAAAAUAGAA